GAUUGUGAAAAAUCGCAGGCAGGAGCGGUAUGAAAUGUAGGCCUCCCUUUUGAAUAAUUUAAAAGCCUCAAUGGCCAAAAUAAAGAGAGGCUGAUGGUGGAUGAUGAACUGGGUGGGAACAGCCCUUCAGGAGAGAAGUGGCAUCCCAUGUUCUGAUGGAGUAUUUAAUCUGGAGCAUUACUUUGAGAUUUGCCAUCGGGAAACAGAGUAAGGAUGGGAAGUUGGCCACUGGGGAGCAGUGUUGGGGAUGAAUGCCCUUGAACCACACUGCUAACAAUGCUUCUGAAACAGAGGUUGUGCAGCGGGGGGGUAACAGAAUGGAGAAACAAAACCCCUUUCAAACUGUAGUUGUAUUUAUAGUGGCAAAUACGGGCGUUAUCCCUGAGCAUUUGGAGCCAUGAGCAAAGUGCUUGGCCAGGCUGAGGAGCUGGGUGUGCUGGAGGGCAGCAUCUGUGCAUGGUAGGGCUGCAAAGCCUCUCUUUGCUGUGCUGCUUUUCUGUGCAUAAUAUGAAGCAGUAUAAACCUUAAGGUCGUUGCAUCUCAUAGCUGGGGCGUUCUGGGUUGUUUUUUGCUCCCAUUUAUUUUGACCUGAUGGUGGGACAGCGAGGUGUUGGGUGUUUCUUUUUGUAUUGAGGGUUCCCUGCUGCUGACUCUGUUGCUUGCUGCAUUGCAGUUUGAGCCCUCACUUCCUUUCUCUCCUGCUAACUUUUCUCGCUCCUCUAGGCAGGUGGUGCUGGCAGAAUUAUUGCUGAUGGCUGAAUUUUUGCCAACCAACAAAACGCUCAACAAAAAUAGCAGAAGAGGAUGUGGGAUUUUGUUGUUAGUGGGAGUGCUGUGGCUCCAUCACACGUUGGAUCUCACCCUUCUGCCCUACAGCACGGACACGGCAAACUUGGGCAAGAUAUGCAUGGAAUUGUAGAAUGGUUGGGUUUGAAGAGAUGCUAAAUAUCAUCCAGUUCCACUCUCCCUGCCAUGACCUGGCUGCCCACCAGCAGCUUAAACCAGCCCAAAACCUCACACCUUUGCUAUUUUUUUUGCUUCUCGGUAUCUUCCCAGAAUUGUUUUUUGCUUUAUAAUAGCCAAGUCUCAGAGCACAGCUUUGCCAUUCUUAGGUCCCAUCAUUGGCAGUCUCAGCAGACAGCUGUGCCCAGAGUGGCUCUUUGUGUUGUCAGUAGGGGACACUUAGGGAUGCUUACAUUGCCACUCCCUCUGCUCAUUCUGUUCUUGGCAAUGGAUUCGUGGACAGGGAGCUGCCAAGAGGAGAUUGGGCCAGCACCUUGUUUUCAAAGGUUUACAGCACGUCUACAGCAUCCAAUAAUGUCACAUCUUGUGGUCAGAGAGUUUUAAGCAAUUUGAAGCUCGGCUUCUACCUGUUUUCCUUGUUUCAGCCCUGAAAUAGAAAGAGAAGAUGACAAGAAAGCCAAGCCCACCCUUUGGCUCAUAAAAAUGUCAAUGUGGAAUUGUCUUCUGAGAUCUGCUGAUGUUCUCGUGGUCCAGCCCUCUUCCAACCAGGUGAAUGAGGAUGUUUCUUCUAUCAGCACCUACUAACCUGGACUUUAUCACUGUUUUCAGACCAAACGCAGACUCCUAAUUGAUCCCCAGCCAUUGUUUUAGUCUUCAGUGGUUUAUUUAUCAUAGAAUCCCAGAAGAGCUCAGGGUGGAAGAGACCUCAAACAUCAAAUAAUUCCAACCCUGGAUGAUUUAUGCAGGGCUUUUCUCAAGACAAUCACUCUGAAUGGAACCAGAAGAAAUAAUGUGGCCCAUCCUUGUGUGCCAAGACAAGAUUAAUUGGUUUUCAAUCACAUUCAGACCGAUUUGCUGCCUUUACUUCUGGAAAGUAGGUUACAAUCCGUAAAGCAAAAAUACCUGGAACUUUUUAGGUGACUUGCUAUAGUUUGAGAUGGACAUCACAGGUUAUGAUGCAGGUGUCCCCUUUCCAGGCCAUUCACUUGGAUCUGUUGCCACUUCAGAUCUUGUUUCUGUUUGGUUUUGAUUCAUUAAGGAUCUAUAGGGCAGCAUUUCCAAAGCUGUUGAUAAAAUUCAUCCUUGUUUAGGGGUAAGGAGUGGUAGAUUGCAUCUUUAGCAUUACCACUUCUUUAUAAACAUAGGGUACAAGUGAUAGCUGCUCAGCAGACCUUUCACUUGUGUACACUUUUUAAAGCCCUAUUAUAAUAGGUGAUUAAAGUAUACUAAUUGAAUUAAGUUCCCAUCUGUCUGAGUUCAGCAAGCCAGCAAGUCUGUUAAUUAAGAUAUCAUGUUUGCUAUAACGGAGGCUGCAAACACAGAGCUGGCCACCAAUGGGAUAAGCAAAUAUCUGACUUCAUGCCAAAGUGCAGAGCAUCCAGUGGGCUAAAGGGGUCAGAACAAAGUGUGCAAGGUAAGCAAGGCUUUCUUGUGGGUUAACGAUAACUGCAAGAAUAUAGCUGGGAAAAAGUGCCAACAUGGGUUGGCUGCAAAGAUUUUUUGAGCACUCGGAGGCAGACAGCAGCAAUAGCAACUGAAAGAGACUGAACAUCGGGUAGCUCAGCAGCUGGCUGCAGUCUCGGUGGGACGAUGCCUAAUAUCAGAGACAAGAAGAGAGAACACAGCAGUUAAAAUGAGUAUCUUAAGGCUGCAAUUUCAAGGAGCUGAUAAACCACCAGUGUAUCCUGCAGCUGACGUGCAGCACUGCAGGCUCCAGGCUGCUCCGCCGUGAGCCGUCUCUGUGCUGUUAUGAUCUGCCAGCCCGACGUGUGGGUCCCACUGAGGAGCUUCUUUUAGACGCCGUAUGUUCACUGCUCUCAUUGUGGGACUGCAGUUUUCUGAACAAGACAUAAAAAUUGAAGGGCCUCUCCACCUGGAACUGAGGGUUUCCUUCUCAUUAGGAUCACUGGUGCCCAUCUCUGUGCAGAACCCUUCUCAGGUGAUAAAUCCAGCCAAGGCGCCCACCAAAAUCCUAUUAUUGCUGGUAAUUGUCUUAAUUUCUUCCAGUAGCUUCAGUGUAAUGAAACACCCUGUGCUAGGAGGAAAUCUGGGAGGACAACAAUGCAUGUGGAUGUAGGUACCUGCGUGCAGCUGAGGAUGGGGCUGUGCUGGUGGUGCACAGGUACCCAUGGGACUGGUUUGAAUGGGGACUGUUGUAGGGACAGGAGGAGGUGGUCAUCUCCUGCAUGACCCUGAUGAGGACCAGGGGGUUCAUCUGUUUUAGAGCAGUCUGGUUUAUUGGCUGCUUGUGAAGGUAUUUGCCAUAAUGGAUGAAUGGGACAAUAGCACAUGAAGAAGACUGCAUCCCUGCUGAGCUUUCAAGAGGAGCGUGCACCCCUGGGGGCUCCAUGCAUGGAGGGGGAUCAGGAUGCAUUUGGUUUCCAGCAGGUUUUGCAGACAGGAUGACUGCUGACCCAGGAUGAAGCCAGCGGGGCUGCACUGAUGCUCCAGGCUCAUGUCCUUGUUGGUGCGAUGCUUUGAGGCAGCAGCAGAAGGUAAUUUUUAUCCCUUAUGGGAAAACUUCCCAACGAGGAGGUUGGAUGAAAGCGGGCGCUCCUCGGUGUGGUUUGAAAGCAAAGAGACAUCUGCCACGGCUCAGCAAAGCCUGGCAGGUGGAAAAAUGCGCCAGCCCCCUCCUCCUACACAUCUCUUGCAUGUCACAGCCGUGGGCUCCUGGCUGCUGUCCCAACAUGUGGUGCCAUAACAGUGUCCCCUGCCCUAUUCCAUGGUGGUAUUUCCCCCUAAAAGACAGCACCGAUCUCUGGGAGCCGGGAGGAUUGUGCAGCUUGAGAGCACACGAGUCAAAACUGAAUUAUUUAGCAUAUUUUUAGUGCAAGCAGGUGUGGGGUUUGAAGCUGUCUGAGUUGGGAAUUCUCUGCAGAAGAGUUGGGGGUCUGGUGGGAUUUCAGAGCGCCGGACAAGUUUUUUCCAUUCCUAUCUUUUUGCUGCCUCUUGACAGCCUUUCCCCCUCCUUUUUUUAUGUGGUUCUCCUUUCUGUCUGGAUUCUCCUUCCCUCUCUUCUAUUUUACUUCCCCCUCCUGCUGCAUUUGGAUGCUUCACCUGGUGCAGCACCGACCCGGUGACGCUCCGUGCCCGCUCCCAUGGGGCUGACAGCACAGAGCCGGGUGCCAAUUCAGCUGGAAACGCAUCCACCUGAAAGGCUGGGAGGGAAGGAGAAGGAGGGAAAGGGGGGGGGCUGUCUUUUGCUUUUUAUAAUGUGAAAUCACACAGCAUGGAGGUGGCUCAGAAUGGUCUCAGAUUGUAAUAUCCCCUGAAAAUCUCAUCUCCCCGCUGUUUGGUUCACCCAUUCAGGAGCACGGUCUGCUCAGCUCCCUCUCACCCAUGUGUUCCUGCAGCCUUGGUGCUGGGUAAGACCCUUAUGGUGGGGGUCUGGGGGGGGGGUCUCAAGGCUGCAGCCCUGUUCUGCUGUUGGGGCAGCAGCUGCCAGUUCCCCGCACGCAGAAGCUGUGAUGAUGGCAGCAUCCCUCACACUGAGAUCUGUACAACCCAAACGAACUUGAACGAUCCGUACGGUUCUUAAACGGGGAUAUUUAUAUUUUAACAGAAAUCACUGUUUCUGCUCAGAGCUGGGUGUGAUGUAACAGGGCAUGAGGGGAAUGCCUGGCCGUGCUGGCAGCAAGUUUGCUGCACGGAGGGGAGCAGAGGGGAAGGGGUUACUGCAUCUCCCUCCUCUUUGGGCACAAGCCUUUGGGGAGGCAACCAUUUGGGCAGCAGAUGGGUGAGCUGAUAGGGCUUGGAAACCUCUCAGGCAAAAGGAAAUCCUUCCUCCCCACCCGGAGGCUCAGCCCUGGUGCUGCAGAACAGCGAGUCCCAGGGGAGCACAGUGCCAUGCUCCUCCAGCACUUGGCCGGGUGCCUCCGUUGAUGCUUUCAGUCUGAAUAAAGUGUGGAACACGCUGUGAGUCCAGGUGAGCUCUCUCUCAAUGGGAACAUCCAAUGAAGGCUACAGUGUGGAGCAAGUGGGAGAGCAGAGCCAGGAGCCCCAUGGGUACAGCAGGACCCCACUGCUGGAUUUUCAUAGGAGACCCUGCUGCUGCUGCAUUGCUCCAUCUUACCAGGUAAGGCUGUGCUGGGGAUGCCCAAAGCCUCAGGGUGUGUAGGACUGGGGCUUGGGGACACAGUGAGGUGAUGGGGACAUUCUCAGGCUCCUCCAAGUCCGGAUAUAAACCAGGAACUGGGGAAGGGGAGGGCUUUGCUCAGCUGCCAGCGGAGGGGAAGCAGGUGGGGAGGUGGUGUUAGAAGGGUGUCAAAAGCAUCACGGUGUGGUGUCAGCUUUGGAGACGGGCAAACGGAUCCCACAGCACCAGGAGUUUGGGGUCAGAGAACCAAAGUGACAGCCUGAGACACCAAUGCCUGCAGGGCUGGGGGCAGCGGCAUCAAUCCUUCCUUCCUGAUGCUUCAUUUUCAUCCCCAGCAUCUCUCCUUUUCAUUUUGCAUGUGUCAGCAACAGCCAGCGGGGCCGCUCUGCUGUCACAUCCCCACACGCUGUCCCUGCACACAUUGAGCAGACGGAGAUGUUUUAAUUAACAAAAUCACAGCGUCACGUCUCGGUGCCGGAUUGAAGAGGCAGCGCUGGGAGUGAGCGGCUGCUUCCCUGCUGUUGUGCCCAUAAAGGCCCCAUGUCCCCAAUGGGCAGCUGAAGGUCAAGCAGAUGGGUUUGGUUUUUCUUGCCCCUUGAGUCAUUUUCCAUUUGAUUAAGGAAAGAGAUGCGUGGCAGCGGCUGUUGGGAAAUCUCAGGCUCUAUCUUGAGGAGGACCGCGGCUUGCAGCGCUCGUGCAUGGAUGGUGCUCCUUUGUUCUCUGUCCAUUUGUAAGGGGAGAGGAGCCAAGGGGCUGGGCAGAGAUUUCUCAAUCCCAGUGAAAGCCUUGAGGUCAUUUCUUGAGUCCCUGCUGCUGCAUCCAACUGCAAGAGAAACAUAAACCCAUGUGGAACGCAUUUAGGUUGGAGUUCUAUCACCAGCACGAAACCUAACCAGAUUACAGCAGGAUGGUGCUGAGCCUCAGCCAGACAUCAGCUUUCCUCCUCUCAUCCUUUUAUCCUCUGCAGACUCAUCGAACACCCAUUCCUGGUGCCAUUCAUUUAACCAAAGAGCAAACCAAUUCACCUGCUGGAUGAAACAUUUUCUGGAUGAAGACCCUCCUUUCCCCACUUCUUUUGCUCCACGCCGUCCAGCUGCUGGGCUUUGCAAAGCAAUUUGCUAUGACCGAAUGCAACGCAGCUGUUUCUCACUACGGAUCUCUUCGGAGGUGGAUUAUUUGUCACUCCUCCAGCUUAAUAAUAAUAAUCCUUUAAUGCA